AUUAUUAUGUAGUUUUUCUGCUUUUAUUUUGACAAAAAAACAAAACAAGGGAUAAAACAUGCUGAAUUACAUGUCCAAAUCGAAAGAGAACAACAAUGCAUCAUCGAUUUUCUGAAAAUUCAUUCAUUUAUCUACACAGUGAUACUAUCCAUUUCAUUCAGUCAUCUGUCGCAUUUUUCCGCAAGGGCUAUUUAUAAACACAUCGUUUCUGAGAGUGGCCAAAAAAGAACAAUUUGGUGACUCAUAAGGCAUGCAACCUUAAAAGCCGAGAGUAUCCGAAUUAAUCAGGAAGUAAUUUUUGUUUACUUUAAAUGCCAACCUCUGUAAAUAGUAAUUUAUUUUGAGUAAACAUUGAGUGAGAUAUAAAGCCAUAAGAUACAUUCAUGCCACUCAAAUUCAGCCACUCAGAAUGAUGGAAAGGAUUGCAGAACUGAGUUUCACUCUCACCUGACUGAUGCAGAUGAAGUAACCUAAUUGCUCAUGAUGGUUUCUGAGAAAAAAUCAGCUUGGUGUAAUUUGACAGUAUUUGACUUUGGAUCUAUCAUGCAACAGUCAUACCAUGAAGUGUCUCACAGAUUCUCUGUCAAUUUCUGCAAUAUCCAAGAUUAC